UAGGAAAUCAGAACAAAACUGAAGGGAAAAUUUUAAGCCAUGUGCCAUAAAUGUGUCCUAUUUUAUAAAUUAAAUUGCUCUACAAUCAUAUACACACAAAUAAAACAGAUUAAAAUGAGCUUUAUUAUAAGAUAUAAUCCUAACUGGCUUAAAGAACUAAAAUCUCAGUAACAAAAUGCAAAUAAACGAAAAUACAAUACAAAUAGCUGCUUUGCUUAGGAAAAAAAUAACACAAGAGCUUAUUACAGAAAAAAGAGGGAGGGUGUAUUCCAAAUGAUAGGAAUAAAACAACUAGAGAAAAAUAUUUUAAAUAAAAAUUGAAAAAUAUUCAAGAACACCAGUUAUGCUCUCAGUGUUCUCAACUAUGUCAUUCCCUUAUCAAUUCAUUAUUCAAUAAACACUUAUUAAGAGACUGCUCUGUCCACAUCCUUUGCCAAGUGCAGAGAAUAUGGAAGUAAUGAUGUCAUGGUCAGAGUCCAGUGGGAAAGCACUCAUGAAAACAGGUUAUUGCAACAGAACAUCAUUCACAUAUAAAUAAAGAGCUUGGAUGUCUUGUGUUCCCUUCUCGCCCAUUGCCACCCUCCAUCCUUCUCCACCUUGCCUUUCCCUGGGGAGGCUGAUCUGGAUAGACUACUGUAUCCGUGGGUUUCUUUGUCCUUUGGCUUCUUAUUGGGUUCAGCCAACAGGACCCUGGCAGCAGAUUGGAGGAAAGGAUAAACAUGAGGUGAGGCAUUGAAUCUCUUGCUCCUUCCACAGUGGGCUGCCUGCAUCUGUUGACCAAAAGUCAGAGCUAAUGAGUGGUCCUGCCAUUGCCACCAGCCAUGUGAAAUCUGUGGUGAAGAAUAUGAGAAUGAGGACAGGUAGCUACAGCCUGAAAUCAGGAGGAUGAAUGAGUGGAUGGAAUGACAGGAACCUGGUUACCGGGGAGUAUAGGUAGGACAGGUGACAAAUGACAGUGGGGGUGUCAGGAAGCCAGUGCAACUAUGGCAGCUCCACCCAGGAACUGGCUAGUAAGCUGCAGGAAGAACAUCAGAAGGGAAGAGGAAGAGCACAGAGUGAAGAAAUCAUGGAUAACCCUCCACAGGGCAGCAGCCCAAGCAAGGAGGCAAGAGGUUUAGGAUAAAUCAGUUCCAGUUUUGGACUAUGUAAGAUAUUCCAGUUAGUGGAUUUAACUCUGUUACUAAAGUGAUUGUAGGAUACCCUUUUCCUGACAUAGACAUCUGAGAAUGUCUAAAAAAGUCAUUAGAAUAUGCCUGAGUGUUCAUCCAGGGGCAAGGGAAGGUUAACUCCAUUGAACCCAUGUGUAGGGGGAAUGGAUCAUAAAAGCAGGUGCUGUGAUUUCAUUAUGGGUCACACUUGUUUAAUAUACUGUUACGCUUGAAAUUUCAAAACUCCUGCUCUAGAAGAAGUAACAAAUUGCAUGUCAGAAAAAUAUUUUGUCAAGUUUUUACUCCAUUUUUUGAGCAUUAUGCAUUUUCCAUGAACUGUUUAAAAUCCUUUGGAUGAUGAUCUAGUUAAAUAUAGGGAAAAAUUCCACCCUUCCCACCCCUUGCUCAGCCCUUAUAGCACCCAAUGGCCAUCCCACUAGAUGCCACAUGUUUGCUUCUUCUCAGGACAGAUGCCAAGGGAUUCCACGAAGUAAACAUCAGAUCUUCCACAGGGAACUGCAGGUUUAUUUAUUCUCUGGGAUGAUUGUCAGAGAUGACUCAGCUUUCUACACCUCCACUCCAUUCCUUCAAUCAGGUGAUCCCAUCUGUUUCUUCUACCUGUACUCAGUUCAAUUCAUCUGCAUGUACUGGCACACAGGAAGUACCACUUCCUGCUGGCUUGUCAGUAUUGCUACUUAUUCCCACCCCAUCCUUACACUCACCCAUAUCUGGCACCCAGUCUCAAGAUCUGAUGUUGAUUUACUGGUCUUUCUGGACCAUGCCAUCUGAAGCUUCUGACUCUCUCGCCCAGAAUUCUGUGUGUAAAGCACUGGUUGCUGAUGCCAUGGCACUAUUUAUUGGCUUUCUCGGAUCUGCGCUCUAGUCUCAACUCUGUUAAUAACUCAGUAUAAUUUUACUCAGUUGUUUUAACCUGCAGGACACCUCCAUUUAACCUCAGUCUCUUCAUCCAUACAAUUGGGUAAAAAUAGCUACAUUGCUCAGAGAUACUGGGCAGAAAGAAUAGCCAUGAACAAUAGCCACUUUGUAUGAGUUAGGUAGUAAAUGUAUGAAUAGUAUUAAUAUCAAUACAAUUUGGUUACUGGGCUGGAGUUGGGAUUUUCAAUAUGGUUACCUUAUCUUUCCCCUUGCCUGUCAUUACUACAUCCAUUGGCCAUUUGCCUGGAUCUCUGAUCCCCAAGAGCUGAUGUCCUGAAUGCCAAUAUUUACCUUCCUACCGGGACUAUCUGUCUAGGGUCAAUGCCCUCGUAUUGCAUCAUGCAAAGGUCAAUUACUCUCUUUCCUUCAAUCCCAGGUAAGGUUCCUAAGCCUUCUAUAUUGACUAUUGUCUCUAACCCAAUCUCCUAAUGACUACAGAGACUUGUACAAUUCUGGUUCAAAUAGCACUCUUCUCCCUUCUGCCUUUAUAGCAGUCCUAUAGAGGAAAACUAGGAGAGCAAAGUGUUCUGGAAGUCAGGUGAAAAAAGUUGUUGUAAAAAGGAAGGCUUGUACAAGUCUGUCAAGUGCUAACAAUCAAGGAAGAUGAGGCCUGAGAAUUGAUCGUUGGAUUUAGCAAUGUGUAAGUUACUGAUGGGCUUUAUAAGAACAAAUUUGGGGAAGUAAUCAUACUAAAAGUUUGAUUAGAGUAGGUUCAACAAAGAACAGAAGGAGCAAAAUUGAAACAGCAAGUAUAGACAGCUCUUUCAAGGAGUUUGUUGUUAAGGGAAGGAGAAGAAUGGGCAGUAGCUGGAGAGAAAUAUAGGAUGAAGAGUUUUUAUCAAUGAAUACAUAAUAAAAGUAUGUUUGUAGGCUGAUGGGCUAGACCCAGUAGAGAGGAAUAAAUUGGACAGGAGAGAGAGGGAAAUUGCUAGAGCAAUGGCUUGAGUAGAUAGGAGGUGAUGGAUCUAGCAUACCAUUGGAGGGGCUGGUCUGUAGGCAUAUGAAUGACUCCACUCUAGUGCAAGAAGGGAAGUGUGGUAUGAGCACACAUGCAGAUAGAUGGAUGUGGAAGGGCUUUUCUGAUUGCAUUAGUUUUCUUAGUUACAUAAGAGGGAAAGUUAUCUGAGAAUGAGGAUGGAGGAGGCGUUGGGGUUUGAGAAGAACAAAAGUAAGACAUAGUUACUUAGAAGGGUAAAUGAUCUAAGAAAUACAAUGUAAUUGCUGGACAGGGUUAAUCGCCCACAUAAUGUUGGCGAUCAUGAAUCUAGAUUGAUGUCAUCAGUGGAUUUUUCUCUAGACAUGUUCAUCGGUGUGGGUGUAGGCACAGAGUAGGCAGAAUGUUGAAUUUAACCAGGACUGGGUUUUAUCCAAGGGAGUUUGGUGAAGUGAGAGCAAAGCAAAGAAAUUGGGGACAAAUUUAAGGGAGUGAUUAUAAUAAGUGACCAUGGAAUUUAAGCUGGAUAAUGGGGGAAGUGCGUGAGGGUAUAAGGAGAACCACUGGAAAUAUGGGAUCAGUGGAUUGGAGGUGUUUAUGGAGUUGGAGCCUUGUUGGAAUUGGGGUUUAGGAAGUGAGAUGGAAAGAAAAGUAGUUAUUGGCCAGAAAGUAGGCUGUAUGAUGAGUAGACAAGUAGUGAUGGGGCAGUGAUGAGGUGGGGGUAUGAGAUGACUUCAACAAACCCAGUAAUUUCUAGAAUGGCACGCUGGUGUGGCUUAAAGUAUUCUCCAUGUAGGCAAGUGGAUAAUGAGGAACCAUUGUUUUAUGCUAGUGUUCUUUUCUCAUUAUAAUUAUUUUUGUCUCAGUUGAGUACAUGAGUAUUAAAAAAGAAAGAGAGGAAAAAAUGUGGAGUAAUAAUAAUUCAGUUAGUUUGAUCCAGCUAUGUAAUUAAUCUCAAAGUAUGGUUUGGGCACCCCUGGAGUUCCCCAAGACCUUUUUCAGGUCUCAAGUAUUUGCAUAAUAAUAAUAAUAAUAAGAUGUCAUUUUCCAUUUUUAAUUUUUGUCUUGUGAAUGUACAGUGGCUUUCUCCAGAGGGUAUGUGAUGUAUGAUAGCACAACAGAUUGCAGAAGUAGACAUGAGAAUCCAGCUGUCUUCUAUUAAACUAGAAAUUAAGGAGAUUAAAAAAAAGUAAAACAAUGCCGAUUUUUUGCUAUUUCUUUUUCUGUUUUGGAAAAUACCAUUUUUUUCCACAAAAAAAAUUGUUCCUAAUGUUAACUUACAAUAGGUUUGUUUGUUUUUAAAUCCACCCGUUUAUUAAAUUUACUGAGUGUCUAUACUAUGCAAGAGUUGAAGAUGCUGAGGUAAUUUAUACAGCUUUCUGGAUGAUGGCGAACACAGACACAGAAAUAAAUAAAGCCCAGUGUUAUAGUA